CAGCCGCCGCGGGAAUACGUAGGUGGCAAGCGUUGUCCGGAAUUAUUGGGCGUAAAGGGCUCGCAGGCGGUUUCUUUAGUCUGAUGUGAAAGCCCCCGGCUCAACUGGGGAGGGUCAUUGGAAACUGGGAAACUUGAGUGCAGAAGAGGAGAGUGGAAUUCCACGUGUAGCGGUGAAAUGCGUAGAGAUGUGGAGGAACACCAGUGGCGAAGGCGACUCUCUGGUCUGUAACUGACGCUGAGGAGCGAAAGCGUGGGGAGCAAACAGGAUUAGAUACCCCCGUAGUCCCUGUCUCUUAUAC
rnacentral:rRNA from 1 species